rnacentral:rRNA from 1 species
AGGACGAACGCUGGCGGCGUGCUUAACACAUGCAAGUCGAGCGGUAAGGCCCUUUCGGGGGUACACGAGCGGCGAACGGGUGAGUAACACGUGAGCAAUCUGCCCUUCACUUCGGGAUAAGCCUCGGAAACGGGGUCUAAUACCGGAUAUGACCGCGCCAUGCAUGUGGUGUGGUGGAAAGUUCUGGCGGUGGAGGAUGAGCUCGCGGCCUAUCAGCUUGUUGGUGGGGUAAUGGCCUACCAAGGCUUCGACGGGUAGCCGGCCUGAGAGGGUGACCGGCCACACUGGGACUGAGACACGGCCCAGACUCCUACGGGAGGCAGCAGUGGGGAAUAUUGGACAAUGGGACGAAAGCCUGAUCCAGCACCGCCGCGUGAGGAUGACGGCCUUCGGGUGUAACCUCUUCAGCGCCGACGAAGCGAGAGUGACGGUAGGCGCAGAAGAAGCACCGGCCAACUACGUGACCAGCAGCCCGAC